rnacentral:lncRNA from 1 species
GGGGACACUCACCGAGCGGCUGGAGAGUCUUUUCCGGGAGCUCCGGCUGAACAUGGCCGGACGCCUCCUGCUCGCAGCGCCGUCCGUCGCAAUACAGUUACUAAAGGAACUUGAAGAGAUCCUCAUACAUAAUUGUCAACACGGGGAGACGCCUUUGAUAUAAUGUAAGGUGGAAAAACAAAACCCGAAUAGACUGUUUGCCUGUAAUUGCUCCUAAAAUAUGC